CCUACGGGAGGCUGCAGUGAGGAAUAUUGGUCAAUGGGCGCAAGCCUGAACCAGCCAAGUAGCGUGAAGGAUGACUGCCCUACGGGUUGUAAACUUCUUUUAUAAGGGAAUAACGUGCGUUACGUGUACCGUUUUGUAUGUACCUUAUGAAUAAGGAUCGGCUAACUCCGUGCCAGCAGCCGCGGUAAUACGGAGGAUCCGGGCGUUAUCCGGAUUUAUUGGGUUUAAAGGGAGCGUAGACGGCUUGUUAAGCCAGUUGUGAAAGUUUGUGGCUCAACCCUAGAAUUGCAGUUGAUACUGGCAGUCUUGAGUACGUGUAAGAUAGGCGGAAUUCGUGGUGUAGCGGUGAAAUGCUUAGAUAUGACGAAGAACCCCGAUUGCGAAGGCAGCUUGCUAAACCGUAACUGACGCUGAUGCUCGAAAGCGUGGGUAUCGAACAGGAUUAGAUACCCUUGUAGUC
rnacentral:rRNA from 1 species